AGAGCAUCUCUCCAGUCAGAUUUCCUUUUAGAAAAAGUUCCUACUAUAAUUGAAAAUUGGAGCAAAAUUUCUGGUAGAAAAGUUGUUCACAGAUAAAUAGAAAAUAAAUAAACAUCUUUAUAAAACCAAUACAUUUUUUGCUCCACUCAAAAUCUAAAAAAAGAGCUGAUACUUGAGGACGGGUCUGCCACUGUUGUGAGUGGGAAGUUUCGAAGGUGGAUAUAUGGUGGUAAUUAAAUGUAUACCUGUAAGCAACGAUAAACCAUUGCCUACGUAAAAACGAUUCUGAGCGGAGUUCGGUUG